UAUGACAUUAAAAUAAUAUAAUUUUAGAAGGCAACUGUACUCAUAUGCAGAUAAGAAAAAGUUGAUACGAACGAGCUUGAAAUGCCCAUUGGUAAGGUAUCGUAACCGAAAGAUAAGAGUGCGUAUGUAAACAUUUCUGGUUUUCAAAGAGGAGGGUCGAGAAAACGUACGAUCAGUGCCAGACUUCUCGCUUGAAGCAUAUAAGACGCGCGCGACCACAGCUCGUCGGCCAACCCCAAUGGGUUAAUAAAUUUACGUUUGUUUGUUCGGGACGCCACGAAGAGACCCUUUCGGUUAUCACCUAUUUAAUCCUAUCUAUUUUGAGAACGGUAAACGACACCACUACUGCUAACCUAAAUCCAUUCUUAAAAUCUAACUCAUGGCCAUUAUUUAUCGUCCCGAUAAAUUAGUACAAGUUUUUCAAAAAAACAAAAACAAAAAAAAAAGAAAAAAAAAAGAAAAAAGAAAAAGAAAACAGGACAAAAUUUUCCACAAAUAUUCGAUAUGGAAUCGUUAUAAGAGAAUUACUUCUUAGAAAAGGAAUCGGUAAAGAUUUACGAUUAGAGUUCGAAAAAACUAAGUGUAGUCUCAAGCACGCUUUCAUGGCAUGGCGUCUACCUUUACUUACACGACGCUCGAAUUACGUGUACUCCAGAAAUAACGCGAGACUUCUUUGUCGAGACACGUAACCCGACUACCACUCGAGAACAAUGCCGGUAAGUCCAAAGGCGCCUCCUUAAGCCUUUCGCAUGUUAUACGUCCGAGCACGCAUAUCCACACACACACACACACACACACAUACAUACAUACAUACAUACAUACAUACAUACAUACAUACAUACAUGCAUGUAUACGCAUAACGUUCCUACGUUACAACGUCCACGCAAGGAUCGUCUUAUCGAGUAUGAUUGUGUGAGCGAGCAAACGUGACCGUGAGUACUUACUCGUAGAAAACUUUGCCGUUCUUCUCGAGACCAAGCAAAUGCACACAAGGCACGCAUACAAAGAGAACGAUAGAUGUACAAAUAUAGGCGUUACGUAGACUCUAAAAAGACAGACUUCUCCAUUCCUUUUCUCCGUUUCUUUUCUCCUAUGGUUUCUCUCACCUUGGUUCACGUUCCUUUUUAUAGUAAGAUUUCUAUAUUUCUUUUUUUUUUCUUAUUCCUUUCUUUUAUACUUGCAGAGCAUUGCUCUAAUCUUUCAAUAAACAUUUCCUCUUCAUUCGUCCAUCUAUAUCAGUCUAUCUAUCUGUCUAUCUGUCUAUUUGUCUGUCUGUCUGUCUGUCUGUCUGUCUGUCUGUCUGUCUGUCUGUUUCUCUGUUUAUCUCUUUCAUCUUUUACAACAGGCAAUAAAAUUCGCGAUCUUUUACUUUGCCAAACAGAGCGCGAGCGUUUUCGAAGAAGUCGAUAAAACGAUUUUUUCUUUUUUGUUAAAGUAAGUCGAGAGGUACGGCGCUUCAAGAUUCCCGGGCGAAUGUUCGUAUUCUUCUCUCUUUUCGAGAUCGGCCGCGUUUUAUCGCUUUACCGCUUUUUAACUUUCACGGAAAACGAAAUCUUCUUCUCGAGGAGUAAAUCGUCCGUGUAAUCAUCGCGUCGUCGAGGAUCGAGUCGAAGUGAUCGUCGAUAACGCGGCCAUUUCUUAUCUACUUUCAUCUCCUUUCUUUCUAUAAUUUUUUUUUCCUUCGUUCCUUUGUAUGCGCAAGUAAGUUCUCAAACGACCCGCCUACUAUUCCUCACAGCGAACGUAGAUAUUUAUUUGUCAAAUUGCAAAUCAUCGAUUAUCGGGUUAACGAUGAUACUCUUCUUCUAACAAUUAUAAUUUCAAUUCCACUAUCGUUCGAUUUUAAUUGCAUCAUAAUUUUAAUUUUAAUAUACUCGAAAGAGAAUUACCUAUUCCGUCUACUUUUUCGAAUAAAUCUUGUGUAAUCCGAUUUGUCAAAGUUACAUACGAACGGGUAUAACAUGCUUUCGUACAGUAAUUAAACAAUUCAUAUCGUUUGACCAUAUUAUAUCGAAAUAAAUUUUAACGAACUAUAUAAUAACCAUUUAAGAUUGGAAAUUAAAAACCAUUAUCACUUUUUUUUAUAAUUCAAAUAAGCUUCCGUCGAAUGCUCUUGAUCCAUGACGUAAAUUGAAUUAAUAAUAUAUUUCAUGUAAUUUAGUUUGUUAAAAUCCCGACGACGGACGAUAUCAUCGACUAAAGUCGAAAAAGAAUUCGAUUUAUUUUUUUUCAAACGAUAAAGCACGAAUGUCCGAGAGGAAGUCACGAGAGCUCGUAAUUCCCUUUUCUCGAAUUUCGAAGGAACGAGUUUACUCACGCGAUCCAAUACUAGGGAGGAAAUCUCUAAAAGGACGACGAUGUUGCGGUUCGUUUUCUCGAGGCGAGUGCGGUACAUAGAUUGGCAUAAAAACAGUAGAAGGUGAGCAAAGGUUUAUUCGAGCGCACAUUAUCUGCAAUAUCGUAUGUACGUGUGAAACUACCACGAUCACAGGACCGAAUUAGAGAAGGAGCUUAUUACCAGAACGGCAGCUGUGCACGGCUAAUCCUAUGUUGCUUGCUUUCCAUGGCCGUAGAUACACCGGAGGUCGACCGACGAACUUCUCUCUCUCUCUCUCUCUCUCUCUCUCUCUCUCUCUCUCUCUCUCUCUUUCUCCCCCACUCCCUCCGGUAGAAGGGUUGGUUAUUGUCUCUAAUUUAAAGCAACGAUUUCCUGUCACGCUGCCUACGAGCUGUAAGCACUGCGCUACGCUUCUGCCCGUCCAUUCAUUCGUUUCCUCCUCCUCGUGUUCUCGUUUCUCUUUAUCUCCCUCCCUCUCUCGAGGUUCUUGAGAACAGAGUUACAUACAUUACGUAGAUAAGUCAGGCAUCAGUGUGGAGAGACGUGUGGGCUUCCACGACGGUGGCCACCGACGUUGUUGUCGCCGUCGUUGCCAUCGUCGCUGUCGCCGUCGUCACCGUCAUCGUCGUCGUCGUCGUCUUAGUCUUCGUCGUCGUCGUCGCCUUAGUCUUCGUCGUCGCCUUAGUCUUCGUCGUCGUUCUAGUCGUCGAGGUUUUUCCUCCUUUACUUCUUCUUGCAUUGAAUGCAUAAACGAAGUAGGCAAAAGAAAACGUGUCACGAAUUAAGUAAGAAAAGAGUAAAAAGUUUAUCGCAUAGUUUGGCUUCAUCGACUCAUAAGAACUUAGAAAAGAGGUCUACGCUUAUUUUCGUCUUAAAAAAAAAAAAAGCUAAGAUAGAGAGUUUUAAACAAUAUCUUAUUAUCAGACUAAUCGAAUUGUUGGUUGUCGAUAAAAUUAUUAGAUAUGUACGAAGGCUUACCUAAAUAUAGCAUGAAAAACCAAUUAAAGAAACCAAGAAAAUUACAAUGUUAUUCCUUGAUUAAAAAUUAGAAUCAAUAUUUUCUCGAUUCGUUAAACGACAAAGAUUUUUCUUUGAAACCUAUAAUUUCUAUCUUUUAUUUAAUUCCAAUUUCAACAAUUAUUUCAAUAUAAUCUAAGACGCACGUACAAUUCGAUAAAAAAGGAAAGGGACGAAUGAUUCAUUGCUUUUUAAAAGAUAAAAUCUCAUGCGUCUCGAGAAACGAUAGGCACGAAUUUUCGUACGCGAAUGCAAUGAACAUUAGGAAGUCGCACGGAGCGUGCGGAACGAACAAUUACAAUUCGCACCGCGUAGGAAACCUCAAUGUCGACCCACGCGCCUUGUCGUCACGUACGAUGCAAACGACAGGACGAAGAAAAGGAGAAGGAGAAGAAAGAGGUGGAGGUUGAGGUGGAGGAGGAGAAGGAGAAGGUGGAGGAGGAACAGUGCGGCAAACGACUGGCAAAUUGCCAAUUGCCUACAAAACGGACGUCGAUGACGAGAAACCAAACGGAACUCGACGACGAUCGAUGAUCCUACUAUACUACAAUCUUCUUUGAAAAAUAUUAUUUCUUCUUCGUGAAGUGAAAGGAAAGAAGUAAAAUGGAGAAUAGAUGAGUAUAAACAAAAGUCCAUAGAAGAUUCCCAAACAAGAAUGCUACUACCUAACCGCUUUGAAGAUGCAGAAAGAGAGAGGGAAAGGAAUGGAUGGUAUUGCUCAAACAUAGUAAGUAACAGAGGAUUUAUAAAAAUAAAAAUAAAUAUUUUCUUUUGCAGAAAUUAUAGAAAGAAAAUUUUAAAAAGGAAUAUAUACUUUUUGAUAUUUCUUCUACUGCGCCGACAUAUUUCUGAAAAAUCAUCUAAUCCAGGUGAUAAGAGAAUAUGAAGAAAAUAUAUCAUAAAAGAAAUAACAUGAAAAAAUCGGAAAUAACCGAACUCAUAUGGGAAAAUAAUUUUUAUGAAAUGCAAUCGAUAAAUUUGAUUCUGUAUGUAGAUACACACAAUCGCUCACAUAAAUGAUUUAUGUGUACCUUUCGUAUAACUCGAGCUUUCUACAGUGUAUGCACCGUUUGUCUCUAAUGAUUCCGACAUUGAUAUCGAAAGCCGAUCCGCUUAAGUGCGUUUGAACUGGAUCACGAGUUCGUGUGUAACCAUAUGGUAUUUUAUAUAACUUGUACAAAAGAAUAUUAAAGAUUAUAUAGAAACAAA